AGCAGCCGCGGUAAUUCCAGCUCCAAUAGCGUAUAUUAAAGUUGUUGCAGUUAAAAAGCUCGUAGUUGAAUUUCGGGAUCAAAUUGUUGGUCGUGCUUCGGUACGCACUGGCAUUAUUGGUUUCUACCUUCUGAAGAACCGCGAUGUCAUUAAUUUGGUGUCGUGGGGAAUCAGGACUGUUACUUUGAAAAAUUAGAGUGUUUAAAGCAGGCUUACGCUUGAAUACAUUAGCAUGGAAUAAUGAAAUAGGACGUUUGAUUCUAUUUUGUUGGUUUCUAGGAUCGACGUAAUGAUUAAUAGGGAUAGUUGGGGGCAUUAGUAUUCAAUUGUCAGAGGUGAAAUUCUUGGAUUUAUUGAAGGCUAACUACUGCGAAAGCAUUUGCCAAGGAUGUUUUCAUUAAUCAAGAACGAAAGUUAGGGGAUCGAAGACGAUCAGAUACCGUCGUAGUCUUAACCAUAAACUAUGCCGACUAGGGAUCGGAUGAUGUUAAUUUUUAAUGACUCAUUCGGCGCCUUACG
rnacentral:rRNA from 1 species